AUUGAACGCUGGCGGCAUGCUUUACACAUGCAAGUCGAACGGUAACAGGUUAAGCUGACGAGUGGCGAACGGGUGAGUAAUGCAUCGGAACGUGCCCGGUCGUGGGGGAUAACGCAGCGAAAGCUGCGCUAAUACCGCAUACGUUCUGAGGAUGAAAGCGGGGGACCGUAAGGCCUCGCGCGAUCGGAGCGGCCGAUGUCAGAUUAGGUAGUUGGUGGGGUAAAGGCUCACCAAGCCAACGAUCUGUAGCUGGUCUGAGAGGACGACCAGCCACACUGGGACUGAGGCACGGCCCAGACUCCUACGGGAGGCAGCAGUGGGGAAUUUUGGACAAUGGGCGAAAGCCUGAUCCAGCAAUGCCGCGUGCAGGAAGAAGGCCUUCGGGUUGUAAACUGCUUUUGUACGGAGCGAAAAGGUCUCCUCUAAUACAGGGGGCUCAUGACGGUACCGUAAGAAUAAGCACCGGCUAACUACGUGCCAGCCGCCGCAGUAA
rnacentral:rRNA from 1 species